rnacentral:tRNA from 1 species
GGGUAAUUAACUCAAUUGGGUAGAGUAUUUCAUUUACAUUGAAAAAGUUAUUGGUUCAAGCCCAGUAUUACCUA